AUUGUGUUCAGGGACUGACGAUGAUGUAGUCCAGCUGAUCAGGCUGAGGAGGGAGAAGGACCACCUCUUCAGCGGGAGGCGGUUUACUGCUGCUGCAGGAUAGGAUUUGAAGAAAUGUGCUGAAAGGAAUGAAGCUGGCUGACCAAGUCAGUCUUGCUAGAGCGGCAAAGAAAUGGGAGAAUUUAAAGAAAACGCAUAAGUCAUGAUCAUCCAGAGCUGGCAGAUUUUCAACUGGGGCUGAAAGGGCAGCAGCCAUGCGUACGCAGCCGCUCCCCACACUGUGAGUCUGGCUGAAGCUGGCCAUCACCAUCAUCCGGCCUCAGUGCCUCUUCAACUGGCUCCAUUGCGUCUCCAUCCCUGAGGCAGAAAUUGUGGAGGAUGGCACAACAAGCCACCACCUCCACAGAGAACACAGUUCUCACUUCUAGGGCCUUGAAAAAGAUGGAGUGCCAUCUAGCCUUCAUGAUACCAAAGGCCCGCUUGAUAACUGAACGAGCCUUUGAAUGGUGCCGGUUAAAUCUGGCUUCACUGCACCUCUCACAGGCUCCCUGUAUGGGGUUAUAAGGGUGAUUGGAGGGGGAGUAGUCUGACAUUAUGACAUUAAAUACUAUAAUUCCACAUUAUCUAAUAUAUAAUAUAAACGCAAAGGACUAAUAUAAUCUUUUAACUUAGUUUGGCUACGUCUAGCUAGUAUAGCAAUGACGGCACGUCUCAGUCCUCUCUGUCUUUCUCUUGCUAGUCUGAUUCUUCUUUGAAGAAAAAUGAUUUGAAUAAGAGUCAAAAGAA